GGUAGUGCCGGCCGCUGGCCGGCAACCUCAUGGUGUUCAGCAACCUAUGCGGAUUGCCGGCCAGCGGCCGGCACUACC
rnacentral:misc_RNA from 1 species